UACAGAGGGUGCAAGCGUUAAUCGGAAUUACUGGGCGUAAAGCGUGCGUAGACGGUUAUGUAAGUCGGGUGUGAAAGCCCCGGGCUCAACCUGGGAAUGCCAUUCGAGACUGCAUAGCUAGGGUGCGGAAGAGGGAAGCGGAAUUUCAGGUGUAGCGGUGAAAUGCGUAGAUAUCUGAAGGAACACCAGUGGCGAAGGCGGUUCUCUGGGCAUUACCUGACGCUGAGGAGCGAAAGCGUGGGGAGCAAACAGG
rnacentral:rRNA from 1 species